UACGGGGGGAGCAAGCGUUGUUCGGAUUUACUGGGCGUAAAGGGCGGGUAGGCGGCCACCGCAAGUCAGUUGUGAAAUCUCCGGGCUUAACCCGGAAAGGUCAACUGAUACUGCGGGGCUAGAGUGCAGAAGGGGCAACUGGAAUUCGUCGGUGGUAGCGGUGAAAUGCGUAGAUAAUCGAGAGGAACACCUGCGGCGAAGGCGGGUUGCUGGGCUGACACGUGACGCUGAACUGCGAAAGCUAGGGGAGCGAACGGG
rnacentral:rRNA from 1 species